rnacentral:lncRNA from 1 species
AUUAUACAAAAUGCUUACUAUAAGUGUUUGAUGCUGUGUGUCAGAACUCAGAUAUUAUGUUUCAUUUACUAUGUAUGCAGGGCUAACUUUUGGUGCUAGCUCAACAAAUGCUCCGGUCGGCCAGUCUGUUGGUAAUUUUGGGCAGGAGCAUCAGCCCCCUGUAAGUCCACCUGUUCACAAAAGAAAAAUCAGUCAAUUAUUUGAAAAAGAAAAAAUACAAAUGUAUUGUUUCUCUCUGUUAUUCUGUAGAUAUGAACUGUAUACAAAAUAUAAAAAAUAAAAGUUGUUUAAUGUAAUGCAGGGGCUAACUUUUGGUGCUACCUCAACAAAUGCUCCCGUCGGCCAGUCUGUUGCUAAUUUUUGGCAGUAACAUCAGCCC